rnacentral:rRNA from 1 species
UACAGAGGGGGCAAGCGUUAUUCGGAAUUAUUGGGCGUAAAGGGCGCGUAGGCGGCUUUGCAAGUGACGGGUGAAAUCCCUCGGCUUAACCGAGGAACUGCCUGUCAAACUGCAUGGCUUGAGACCGGGAGAGGUGAGUGGAAUUCCCAGUGUAGCGGUGAAAUGCGUAGAUAUUAGGAAGAACACCAGUGGCGAAGGCGGCUCACUGGUCCGGUACUGACGCUGAGGUGCGAAAGCGUGGGGAGCAAACAGG